rnacentral:rRNA from 1 species
GUUGGGAACCACUGUUCUAAAAGCACCAGAUCCUGUCUAAUCUUGGAAGAUAAGCAGGGUCAGCUUGGUUGGUACUUGGAUGGAUGACCGCCAAUGAAUGCCAAGUGAUGUUGACU